rnacentral:rRNA from 1 species
CGGAGGGUGCAAGCGUUAUCCGGAUUCACUGGGUUUAAAGGGUGCGUAGGUGGGCAAGUAAGUCAGUGGUGAAAUCUCCGGGCUUAACCCGGAAACUGCCAUUGAUACUAUUUGUCUUGAAUACUGUGGAGGUCAGCGGAAUAUGUCAUGUAGCGGUGAAAUGCUUAGAUAUGACAUAGAACACCAAUUGCGAAGGCAGCUGGCUACACAAAUAUUGACACUGAGGCACGAAAGCGUGGGGAUCAAACAGGAUUAGAUACCCUGGUAGUCCACGCCCUAAACUAUGGAUACUCGACAUUUGCGAUAAACUGCAAGUGUCUGAGCGAAAGCAUUAAGAUCCCACCUGGGAAGUACGAUCGCAAGAUUG